rnacentral:rRNA from 1 species
GAUGAACGCUAGCUACAGGCUUAACACAUGCAAGUCGAGGGGUCUUCUGGAGCUUGCUUUAAAAGACGACCGGCGCACGGGUGAGUAACGCGUAUCCAACCUGCCCUUCAUAUUGGGAUAGCCUUCCGAAAGGAAGAUUAAUACCGAAUAACAUAGAGUGGUUGCCUGAUUUCUCUAUGAAAGCUCCGGCGAUGAAGGAUGGGGAUGCGUUCCAUUAGGUAGUAGGCGGGGUAACGGCCCACCUAGCCGACGAUGGAUAGGGGUUCUGAGAGGAAGGUCCCCCACACUAGAACUGAGACACGGUCCAGACUGCUACGGGAGGCAGCAGUAAGGAGUAUUGGUCAAUGGGCGCAAGCCUGAACCAGCCAAGUAGCGUGAAGGAUGACUGCCCUAUGGGUUGUAAACUUCUUUUAUACGGGAACAAACCUUGGUACGUGUACCAAAUUGCGUGUACCGUAUGAAUAAGCAUCGGCUAACUCCGUGCCAGCCGCCGCAGUAAGAC